rnacentral:rRNA from 3 species
GCAUAUCAAUAAGCGGAGGAAAAGAAACCAACAGGGAUUGCCCUAGUAACGGCGAGUGAAGCGGCAACAGCUCAAAUUUGAAAUCUGGCUUCGGCCCGAGUUGUAAUUUGCAGAGGAAGCUUUAGGCGCGGCACCUUCUGAGUCCCCUGGAACGGGGCGCCAUAGAGGGUGAGAGCCCCGUAUAGUUGGAUGCCUAGCCUGUGUAAAGCUCCUUCGACGAGUCGAGUAGUUUGGGAAUGCUGCUCAAAAUGGGAGGUAAAUUUCUUCUAAAGCUAAAUACCGGCCAGAGACCGAUAGCGCACAAGUAGAGUGAUCGAAAGAUGAAAAGCACUUUGAAAAGAGGGUUAAAUAGCACGUGAAAUUGUUGAAAGGGAAGCGCUUGUGACCAGACUUGCGCCGGGCAGAUCAUCCGGUGUUCUCACCGGUGCACUCUGCCCGGCUCAGGCCAGCAUCGGUUCUCGCGGGGGGAUAAAGGCAUCGGGAACGUGGCUCCUCCGGGAGUGUUAUAGCCCGUUGCGUAAUGCCCUCGCGGGGACCGAGGUUCGCGCAUCUGCAAGGAUG